UUGAAAUCUCUGUUAUUAGAAUCAUACAAUUUGCGAUUUGAUUCAGUGAGUAAUCAAUACGAACAGGUUGUAUGAAUCGCAAAUUGCCAUGAAUCGUAGGUGAAUCGGUGAACGAAAUCGGUAAAUCGUGAAGUGAGUCAAUUCGAUUCGCUAAACUCGAUGUUUGACUUUCCUUUUUAGUUUUUUAUUGUUGGAAAAGGGUUCACACAACCCUUUUAAGGUCUUUAAGAUUACUAUAUGCCAUCUUUUGACUUUCUCCCUCCCUUUUUUGUUAGUUUUUCAUAUCUCUUUAUCCCCUUAACAUUAUAUCCAUAAGUCAGUGGAGCUUUGUUAGUUUUAUUUAUAGAUUUAUUUAUUUUUGCUGUUGUUGUUGUUGAUGAAAUAUAUAUAAAAUUAAGAUGAAUAUUCCUUUCGAAUUCUGCAAGCCCUUUAGCUCCUUCAUCUGUGUUGGGCACACCCACCUUUUAUUGUUGUAGUUUUCUGUCUUUUUUAUUUUUUUAUUUUAUCAAGGAAUUAGUUUUAGUAUGAAAGAUCUUUUCUCCUGACAUCAAUGCACAAUUUUUUGUUGAGUUGGAGUGUUGUAGAGAAAUUAUCAAUUCAUAUAAGGCUGAUGUUUUUAUUCUUAAUACUUUGUACAUGUGACGGAGGCAUCAGAAUCUGGUGAGGAGAAUAGUUCUAAAGGCUCCAUCAAUAGAGGGAAUGGAAGGUGAGGGAGAGAUUAAUCGAAUGAUCAAAUUUUUGGUUGAGGAAAAAGUUCCCCUUUGCUAAACUUUUGAACUGGGAUUGGUGUAAUCCAUAGACAUAUAUGCUUGAUUGGAGGGUUAG